rnacentral:rRNA from 1 species
CCUACGGGAGGCAGCAGUGAGGAAUAUUGGUCAAUGGACGAGAGUCUGAACCAGCCAAGUAGCGUGAAGGAUGACUGCCCUAUGGGUUGUAAACUUCUUUUAUAUGGGAAUAAAAUGUUCCACGUGUGGGAUUUUGUAUGUACCAUAUGUAUAAGGAUCGGCUAACUCCGUGCCAGCAGCCGCGGUAAUACGGAGGAUCCGAGCGUUAUCCGGAUUUAUUGGGUUUAAAGGGAGCGUAGGUGGAUUGUUAAGUCAGUUGUGAAAGUUUGCGGCUCAACCGUAAAAUUGCAGUUGAAACUGGCAGUCUUGAGUACAGUAGAGGUGGGCGGAAUUCGUGGUGUAGCGGUGAAAUGCUUAGAUAUCACGAAGAACUCCGAUUGCGAAGGCAGUUCACUGGACUGCAACUGACACUGAGGCUCGAAAGUGUGGGUAUCAAACAGGAUUAGAUACCCCUGUAGUC